GUACCAAUUAUGGGCUGAAUCAUUCUGAAUUUGUGAACUCACCUUAAGGAGUUCUCCUUUUAGGAUAUGUGUGGCUACCUGUGUGUGUUAUCUUUGGGAAAAAUAUAGUCCCCUGUGUAUGUGGGUGCCCACCAGGUUAAAUUCUUGGCAAAAAGAUCAUAAACUGGUACUGGUAAUGUGUUAAAUUGACAAGCUAAUUUAACAUCCUUUGAUGAUGUAUGAUAUAAUGUAAAAUAGCAAGAGCAUGAAAAAUGUGAAACAUUACCAGUUAACCAUCCAUUGCAUUUACUGGAUUGGGGUUUUAGAAGUAACCAUUCAUUAUCUGUGAGGUUACGCUUUCCUCUAAUCUUCUCUAGUUUAGGAAUCAUUAGUGUGUUUUCUAAUGCCAAUCCUUGUUGUUGUAUCCAUAAAUACCUGAUGGCACAAGUACUCCAGUUACCGAGAUCUGUGGUGAAUUUCAUAGUUGCAACAGUUAAAUUAUCUAAAUAAUUAUACAUUGAUUUAUCUAAAUCCAAUCCUGUAACCUGUGAUUUAACAACAGUUGGAGCCCAAUUUGCAGUAGCAUGAAAACCAGUCCCUAUAUGCAUGCUGGCUGUGUUUAACUUAUUCUUGAGGGUCUCCAUAUCUAUAACUAUUUAGUAUACCCAUAGUGGUUCCAGCACCUCCUAACAGUGUGUCAUACCAUUCCCUUUUCUGCCUUUGUUUGCUGUGUUACAUAAUGUUACAACAGGAGUAGUGAUUUUUAAUGACACAUGUACAGCUUGUAAGAAGGCAGUUGUAUUAACACAUGUGGACGGAAUAGGUGUGUGUGUGUCGUGUUUGACUUUUGGUUCUAUGAUAGUGGAUGAAGGACAGUAAUAAGGUGUAAAAAUAUAAGGUAGUGUAUAGUUCUCAAUUGUAGUGUUGUUCAUAAUGACUAACAUUUGUCCCCUUCUCCAAUUAAUGAUACCAGUUAUAUAAUCAUUAUUAAAAGUAAUAAGGCCUGUCUGUUUACAUUGAUAUGCAACCUUAACUGUGCACAUUUCUGCGUUAUAAGAUCUAACAAUUUUCUGUGAACCUUUAAACAAACAUAAUGCAUCGGUUUCAUUAGCUGUAGACACAUUUCAUAUGGGUAACUGGUACUUAUAAGGGU